AGUGCAGGGCAUGGAGAAAGGGAAGGCGGGCUCCUGCCAUUGGGGCCGUCAUUUCUGCUUGCCCUGCUGGAGCUGGGUCUCCCUCCCUCCUUGGAAUGGGCCAAGGGCGCAGGGGGUCCCGCCUGGCCUUGCCACCUUGGCUGCUGGUCCUGGGGAUGCACCCAGGCCCUCUCCAGAUCUGCUGGCCCCGCCUGGGCCCUGUGACUGAGCCCUCUUAGUGAGCCACUUGAAAGGGGUGAGGGUGGGGAACCCAGUCUCCAGCAGCUCUGUCCUAUGCAUCUUGGAUGGGAGAAAGAACCUGAGCUCACCAGGGAGGUCUCGCACAGCAGGCGGCUGCCACGGCCCAGGCUCCCCAGCGCCAUGUGGAAGUAGGUGCUGCCGCUGCUCCAGCUGGAGAUCUUGGUGAAGGGAUAGGUGGUCCCUGGACCUGGUGGCCCCCAGCCCCUCCGGAGGCCCAGCAGCUACCUUGGUCUUGGGGUGGAUGAGCAGAACCCCAUGUCGGUUGAUGGCGAUGAGGAUGACGUCCGGGUAGGAAGGCUCCGAGGUUUGCUGGGAGGGAGGGACACGGCGGUCAUAGUCCAGCCCGGGAGGCCAGGCUGCACCUCCCAGGAGCUCAUCUAGGCCACACGCACAUACACACAUACACCCACGCCCUCCAGCCUCACGGCCAGCCCCACCCAAGAUGUGUGCUGGUUGACGCUGGGCCUGCUGGGGCUGGGCUGAGCGGAGCCUGCUUGGGUAGGAGGCCCUGGCGUGGGGCAAGGUUUACCUUCACCUCGAAGAAGGCGGAUCCGAAGGUGGGCCACCGGCAGAUCCACUUCAGGAAGGCCACCUUGGCCUCCUCCACUGUCUUGUCCUUAUGCUUGUCAUAGGCUAGAAGGAUGCUCUGGGGGACAGGAGGGCCAGUAAGGACUUGGGUGCCCAGAGGCCCUCCAAAGCCCUGGUGGGGGCAGCACCUGCCUACCCCAGGGCUAGUACGGUGGGGAGGGGAGGGGAGGAAUGCAGCAUGGGACAGUCUCGGUGCUGUGGAUGGCAUAGGAAGGCGUGGUGUGUGCAGAGCCAGCCCACCCUCCACACCACCCAUGUGCACCCAUGUGAUCUUGGAGCCCAGGCAGGGCAUGGCACUGGUGCAGGGGCCCAGGGAGGAGCAGCAGCACAAGAACCCUUCCCCAGCCCGACCAGGGACCUUUUUCCACUCCUCCGAGGACAUCAGGCGUGUGAGGUUCUCAGGCACCAGUUCCCUCAGGAUCUUGGGGACACUAGCCAGCUGGGACCGGUCGUUGUUGAACUGGGCCUUGUAGAUGAGGCCCGCCAGGUGGAUGGCAUCCUCCCGCGAACACUUGUGGAAUCCGCGCAGGUACUUGGGCAGCUCCUGGGUGAUGGACACACUGGGCAUGCUGGGUCUCCAGCUGCGGCCCACCCGCCCCCAACCUCUUUCCCGCUCAGAUGGUGGGGAACUGGGGCUUAGCCCACUCCAUCCAGGACGGACUGAGCAGGGUAGAGAGUUUCAGGCCAGGGGAAUGACCCUGAGUCAGGGCAGGGCCCCCUGACAUCUGCGUGGAGGUGAUGGCCUGCUCCACCCAUGUGGUUGGCCCUGCAGGCCACGGCCACUGCUCCAUGGGUCACAGGACCCUCUGUCCCACCCUCUCCAAGUCAUGCUGCAGGUGCCAGUGCAGUCACUGUCCCCAAACAUUGCUGCCCUCUGCUCCUGGUUCCAGAGCCCUCAGGGGCUUGGUCUGCCUACCACAUGGGCUGGUACCCAGGGCUGAGGCUGGCCCUGCCCUGGCCUGCUGGCUUCUACAGCCUCAGAACAGGUGUGGGAAGAUGGGGGUGGCCCCAGUGCCCACCAGGGCAGCCUGCCCGGUACCUGGUGGUAAUGGAGUAUGGUGUCUGCAUUCACAUCCUUCCCUGGAGAUAUGUUGAGCCACAAUUUCCGCAUGAAGUACACCUGGUAGGGGAGCGUCACGGGGGCCCCUGGGCGAGGGCCAGCAGUGGGCACCAAGCCUGUCCCAGCAGGUACACCAGCCCUGACCCCCUGCCACCCCCCACACUGCGCCUGCCACCUCCCUGCCUCGAAAGCCCCCACGCUUCUUCCUCCCCAGUCCCCACAUUUUCCUUCAAUAUUAGUGUAGAGGCUGCCUUCUCCAGGAACAUUCCUGGACUCGCACUCCCAGCCCAUGAGGGUCAUGCCCCUCAGCCCUGGGGCAUCCUUCAUCACUCCAAGGUGCAGCCACCUGUUUCUGCCUGAGCUGGCCCUCACCGCCGGGCCCCAGGGCCUGGUUGUUCCCACAACCCAGGGACACACGGGAACGAAUGGAUGGAUGAAUGGGCAUGGGCCGCACAGAGGCCGCCAGUGCCCCCUCGACCCACCCAGCCACGCCCUCCCCCAGCUCCACAGAGGCCUCCUCACCUUCUUUCUGGGGCUUGUUCUUCUUCACCCAGUCAGACACCUCCCUCAAGGAAUCAAAGAAGAAGUCUCCCUCCUUCUGGCUGAUGACCUGGGGAAGGGGAAGGUACAGGGAAGUUGGGUGGCUUCCGGGGACUGUCCUCCUGAGAACCUGCUGGGUUCUGGUCCAGUGGCCGCCUACGGCCUGGGUGCUGCGCUGGAGUCGGCUGUGCGUGGGCUAUUGGCGUGUGGAGCUGGCUCUGCUCCAGGACCCCACCUACCUCUGUCCCAGCAGCCCUGGCCGUGCAGCCUGGUCCAGCAUGGGUGCCCCUGGUAGGCUGAGGCCCCCACAGGCAGCACCUAGGGCCUCGCUCACUGCCCGUCCGCCCACCGUCUGCCCAGCCCCAGCCCGGCCCACCUUGUCUGAAAUCUUGAUGAAGAGGCUGCAGCCCUCCCAGGAGGCCAGCUGCAGCCUGGUGGCAAUGCUGUCACACACAUCCCGCACCCGUGUGUUGGCAACCACCUCCAGCAUCUGGACAGAGAGGCAGCUGGUGAGGCCCGGGGCCUGGCUAGGGGCCAGUACAGCCCAGGAUGAGCCUUCCUAGCCUGGCACUUUUGCUCCUUCAUGAAACUUGGGUUGGAUGUGGUCUGCCCUGAGCAGGGCAAGCCUCCCUUCCAGAACCCUGGCCAGAGGUUCAUGUUGUUUAGUCCCAGCAUUCGCUGUCCUGGGGCCCUGCAGGCCUGGCCUUUUGACUCGCCUUGAGAGCCCAGCAGCCAGACUGUGGGAACUUCCUGUUACCGGGACCCGAAUAUCAAGGCCAAAAAGACCAUUGUGCUGUUGGAGAGGGCGCGAGGCGACACUGCCCACUUUGGCCUCUCAGCCCGCUUGUCUUUGCUGCCCCUGAUCAAGGCCUCUGUGUCACGGUGGGGUCCUGGUGGUCUCCUACCUGCCCCCUGGCCCCUUUGUUCCCCCAGCAGCCAUGGCAGGCUCUGUGCAC
rnacentral:lncRNA from 1 species